UCACUUAUCCAUACUUUUGCUUCAGUUAUUCUGGUAUUGAUUCCUUCUCAUACAUUUUUCAUUUCCGAUAUUGUAUUGUUCAUCUGUUUGUUUUUUUCCUUAAUUCUUCUAGGUCUUUGUUAAACAUUUCUUGCAUCUUCUCGCUCUUUGCCUCCGUUCUUUUUCCGAGGUCCUCGAUCAUCUCCACUAUCAUUAUUCUGAAUUGUUUUUCUGGAUGGUUUCCUAUCUCCAGUUCAUUUAGUUGUUCUUCUGGGGUUUUAUCUUGUUACUUCAUCUGGUGCAUAGCCCUCUGCAUUUUCAUUUUGUCUAUCUUUCUGUGAAUGUGUUUUUCGUUCCACAGGCUGCAGAAUUGUAGUUCUUCCUGCUUCAGCUCUCUUCCCUCUGGUGGAUUAGGUUAUCUAAGAGGCUUGUGCAAGCUUCCUCUUGGGAGGGACUUGUGGUUGGUAGAGCUGGGUGUUGUUCUGUUGGGCAGAGCUCAGUAAAACUUUAAUCUGCUUGUCUGCUGAUGGGUGGGGCUGAGUUCCCUUCCUGUUAGUUGUUUGGCCUGAGGCGACCCAGCACUGGAGCCUACAGGCUCUCUGGUCAGGCUAAUUGCUGACUCUGGGAGGGCUCAUGACCAGGUGUACUUCCCAGAACUUCUGCUGCCCGUGUCCUUGUCCCUGCAGUGAGUCACAGCCACCCCCUGUCUCUGCAGGAGGCCCUCCACCGCUAGUAGGUUCUGAUUAAAAGACAGCUCUGCCAGCCAUUGUGUCUUAGUUGGAAUGAAAACCCCUUGAAGAGCAGUAUUACUGUGUGUGAACAUAAGUACAAAUAAUUCUGCAGCCUGGAUAUAUCCUCUUAUAUUUUUCCUAGUGUGUUUCACCUCAUGGAAUCACCUGUUGUCUGGAUCUUUAUUUAGCUAAAUUACUGGGGACACAGGUUCGAGCCCUGGUCCAGGAAGAUCCCACGUGCUGCGGAGCAACUAAGCCGUGCGCCACAACUACUGAGCCUGUGCUCUAGAGCCCACAAGUCACAACUACUGAGCCCACAAGCCUCAACUACUGAAGCCCAUGCAACUAGACCCCUUCCUCUGCAACAAGAGAAGCCACCACAAUGAGAAGCCUGUGCACCACAACGAAGAGUAGCCCCCACUCACCACAACUAGAGAAAGCCUGCAUGAAGCAACGAAGACCCAACACAGCCAAAAAAAAAAGGGAUGUGCUAUAGAGAACAAAAACAGAUUUAUAUGAUAAAUUAGUAUGGUUCAGGGAGGUGAGUCAAUAUUUGAAAUGUUGAGGUGAAGUGCCUUAAAUUUCCGAAUGACUUGUUUAAACAAAACAUACCAAAGACUCAGAAAUUAAUAUAGUUAAAAAUAUUUUAUAUACGAAGACAUUACUGAUGUAUCCUACUCUGUUUACUAAAGCAAGGCAAGAUUUUUAAAAUCCCUUCCUGAUGAUUAGAAAAUGUUUUAUUUUGGAUUUCAUUAAAGUACUUUCCUGGAAAUCUAUUUGGACAUCUUAUGGGAUUAUGAUGGAACUUUUAAGAACACUCGAUACGUAUAAAAUUCAUAUAUACAGUAAACUUGACCUUCCUGAAACACAAAAAGCUGAAAAUAAGUUAGGUAAACUUUGGAGAAAUAUAAACACACAGUUAAGAGUCCAGAUACGAGGAGUCAAUCAUUGUUUGAUGUACUGAGGCCCUCAUCUGGAGACAUUCCCUAUGGAAAAGAAGUACAGUGGACCAACUGUAUCUACAGGUCUGCAUCCGUGGAUUUAAUCAACUGAGGAUUCAACUAACUUUUUUUACUGAAAAGUAAAACUUAAAUUUUCCCCAUGCUAGCAACUAUUUACAUGGUAUUUACAUUGUAUUAGCUAUUAUAAGUAAUCUAGAGAUGACUUAAAGUAUACAGGAGGGGGUACUUAGGUUAUAUGCAAAUACUACGUUAAGCCAAUUUAUAUCAGGGACUUGAGCAUCCAUGGACUUUGGAAUCCCUGGGGAUUCUGGAACCAAUCCCAUGUGGAUACUGAGGGCAACUUUAUCUUACAAAUGUGACCUCCCCCUCCAAGACAGAGAGAUGACCUUCAGCCUCACUGGGGACAGCACCACCCACUGCACAAGUGACAGUCAAGGGAUGGGGUUUGAAGCAGCGCCGCCCCUCACUGUGAACUUUCUGGUCCUACUGGUCAGUGCACAUUUCCCCACGAUCCAGAAGGAUCAGUGUAUCUAGAUGAAACCUCCAUGUUUCUAUAGUGACAAUCGUUUUUGCUUGUGAUAUAGCUUUGUUAUGAAUGUCAGAGGCAAAAUUACCUGCAGGAUGAAUAACAGAUGUUUUAGAUGUGCUACAAUCUGUCCCAGUUGGUGGUAUUCUGAUGACCCUUCCCUCUGGAGUGAGGAGGGUGGGAUGGUGAGGAGAGGUGGGAGCAGAGAGAAUAAGUAAAGGCCAGAUUUUACAGGGAAUAUUUUCAAGGCACUGAAAACAAAUGCCAAAGAAAUAGUCUGUCAUGCCAUCUCUACUGAGUUGUCCUUAUACUAGAUAGAUGGGUGCGCAGAGCAAAAAGCACAUGUUGAUGUCAGUAAUUUACUUCAGAACUGAUGAUGUUACUGAGUAUAGGAGAUGGCAGAGUAGGAAGACCCUGAGCUUACCUCUUCUCACGGGACAUCAAAAUUAUAACUAUUUACAGAGAAACUAAUUGAUGAGGAUGACCAGAACCUACUAGAAAAGAGCUUCUACAACUAAAGAUAUAAAGAAGGCAUCACAACAAGAUGGCUAGGAGGGGCAGAGUCAAGACUCUCUCUCAAAAGCUCCAGCUAAAGUUGGCCUGUCUGUCUUCUACUACGCCCUUACCAUCUGAAUCGUCUAGUUCAUCAAAGUCUCCAUGACAUUUCUAAGACACAAGUGAUAAUCUCAUAGUUGGUAAGUUUUAUGAAGAGUUUGCCAAGGAAACCUAGCAUCUUUAACAGUAAGUAUCCACUUAUAAUAAAUGAAAUGUAAAAAGAGAGAUCAAAAUAUCCUAGACUGCAAUUUUAAUUAGAAAGAAAAGAAUAAUGAAUUCAGGCCAUAGUGUAGCAAAACUGGUAUCCUUAUAUGCAUAUAGAGUGAGUGCCUUUUAUCAAAGUUUCUAUACUAUCUUUGAACCAUUAUAAAAACUGAAUCGUUCUUCCUAUUUUAAUGUGUUUGGAGAAGACAAAUUGCUCUUUGUUUUAUAACCUAGGAAUGGCCUUCAGGAUGGUAAUUGUGCCCGUUUGCACAAAUUGAAAGCCACAAAGACCAGUUUUCUAAGCCCAUUUCUGUGAUCUGCCUAUGUGAGAGGAAUAGUUCUGUGGUAGAGUUUCUAAGAGAAUCAGUAGAGUCUGCUGCAUAGAGUAGCUCGUGCCUUGCGCCUCACACAAGAGACAUGCAGGGUCAUGGCGAGCUGAGCAGAGGAGCUCCAGUGUUUGUUCCCACCCACCUGUUGAAAGGCUGCUGUUGGACAAAGGUCACAAACUGCUCUCUCACAGCUUACCUGUAACCCUGUGGUAAUAAGACUAAUAUGCUAGAUUAAACCAGGAGCAGAGGGGAGUUCUUAAAGAUAAGCCUGUGGGGGGUGUUUUUAGUAGCAGAAUUUGUAGUUACAUUUUUUUUUAACAUCUCUAUUGGAGUGUAAUUGCUUUACAAUGAUGUGUUAUGUAGUUAAAUUUUAAAAACUCAUUGGCAAUCUCUAGUAGGACUAUAUAUUAAGAUAGAAUUUAAAGCCUGCAGGUUAGGGACUUCCCUGGUGGCGCAGUGGUUGAAAGCCCACCUGCCAAUGCAGGGAAUGUGGGUUCAAGCCCUGGUCCAGGAAGAUCCCACAUGCCCCGGAGCCACUAAGCCCAGGAGCCACAACUACUGGGCCUGUGCUCUGGAGCCCUCGGGCCACAACUGCUGAGCCUGUGUGCUGCAACUGCUAAGGCCCAUGCACCUGGAGCCCGUGCUCUGCAGCAAGAGAGGCCAUUGCAAUGAGAGGCCCGUGCACUGCGAUGGGGACUGGCCCCCACUUGCUGCAACUAGAGGGAGCCUACAUGCAGCGACGUAGACCCAACGCAGCAAAAAAAAAACAAAAACAUCCCCUGCAGGUUAAAAUAUACACCAUGACCCCCUAAAACUCCUAUAAGAGAACGUCGGCAAAGCAUUCUCUGACAUAAAUCACACUAAUGUUUUCUUAGGCCAGCUCCUAAGGCAAUGGAAAUAAAAGCCAAAAUAAACAAAUGGGACCUAAUCAAACUUAUAAGCUUUUGUACAGCAAACGAAACAAUAAACAAAACAAAAAGACAACCUAUGGACUAGGAGAAAAUAUUUGCAAAUGAUGCGACCAACAAGGGCUUAAUUUCCAAAAUAUACAAACAGCUCAUACAACUCAACAUCAAAAAAACAAACAACUCAAUCGAAAAAUGGGCAGAAGACCUAAAUAGACAUUUCUCCAAAGAAGACAUACAGAUGGCCAAUAGGCACAUGAAAAGAUCCUCAAGCAUUGCUAAUCAUUAGAGAAAUGCAAAUCAAAACUCCAGUGAGGUACCACCUCACACCAGUCAGGAUGACCACCAUUAAAAAGUCUACAAAUAACAAAUGCUGGAGAGGGUGUGGAGAAAAGGGAACCCUCCUACACUGUUAAUGGGAAUGUAUACUGGUGCAGCCACUAUGGAGAACAGUAUGGAGGUUCCUCAAAAAACUAAAAAUAGAGUUACUAUAUGAUCCAACCAUCCCAAUCCUGGACAUAUACCUAGACGAAACCGUAAUUCAAAAAGAUACACGCAUGCCCUAUGUUCAUAGCAGCACUAUUUACAAUAGCCAAGACAUGGAAACAACCUAAAUGUCAUCGACAGAUGAAUGGAUAAAGAAGAUGUGGCACAUAUAUACAAUGGAAUAUUACUCAGCCAUAAAAAGAAACGAAAUUGAGCUAUUUGUAAUGAGGUGGAUAGACCUAGAGUCUGUCAUACAGAGUGAAGUAAGUCAGAAAGAGAAAGACAAAUACCGUAUGCUAACACAUAUAUAUGGAAUUUAAGAAAAAAAAACAGUCAUGAAGAACGUAGGGGUAAGACAGGAAUAAAGACACAGACCUACUGGAGAACGGACUUGAGGAUAUGGGGAGAGGGAAGGGUGAGCUGUGACAAAGCGAGAGAGAGGCAUGGACAUAUAUACACUAACAAACAUAAGGUAGAUAGCUAGUGGGAAGCAGCCGCAUAGCACAGGGAUAUCAGCUCGGU